rnacentral:tRNA from 1 species
GGGGACAUGGCGGAACUGGUAGACGCAAGCGACUUAAAAUCGCUCGGGCUUUGCCCGUCCGGGUUCGAUUCCCGGUGUCCCCACCA